rnacentral:rRNA from 1 species
CCUACGGGAGGCAGCAGUAAGGAAUAUUGGACAAUGGGCGAAAGCCUGAUCCAGCCAUGCCGCGUGAAGGAUUAAGGUCCUCUGGAUUGUAAACUUCUUUUAUGUGGGACGAAAAAAGGGCAUUCUUGCUCACUUGACGGUACCAUUUGAAUAAGCACCGGCUAACUCCGUGCCAGCAGCCGCGGUAAUACGGAGGGUGCAAGCGUUAUCCGGAUUCACUGGGUUUAAAGGGUGCGUAGGCGGGUAGGUAAGUCAGUGGUGAAAUCUCGAAGCUUAACUUCGAAACUGCCAUUGAUACUAUCUAUCUUGAAUAUUGUGGAGGUUUGCGGAAUAUGUCAUGUAGCGGUGAAAUGCUUAGAUAUGACAUAGAACACCGAUUGCGAAGGCAGCAGGCUACACAUAUAUUGACGCUGAGGCACGAAAGCGUGGGGAUCAAACAGGAUUAGAUACCCUGGUAGUCCACGCCCUAAACGAUGAUUACUCGACAUACGCGAUACACUGUGUGUGUCUGNGNGAAGAGAUAAGUAAUACCUACCGUUGGAGUACGUUCCGCGAAGAGAGAACGACGAAAGGAAGUUAGACGGCGNGAGAGNGCGACGGACGACGACGAGGGAGGUAGG